UGGGGAAUAUUGCACAAUGGGCGCAAGCCUGAUGCAGCCAUGCCGCGUGUAUGAAGAAGGCCUUCGGGUUGUAAAGUACUUUCAGUCGGGAGGAAGGUGGUAAGGUUAAUAACCUUAUCAAUUGACGUUACCCGCAGAAGAAGCACCGGCUAACUCCGUGCCAGCAGCCGCGGUAAUACGGAGGGUGCAAGCGUUAAUCGGAAUUACUGGGCGUAAAGCGCACGCAGGCGGUUGAUUGAGUCAGAUGUGAAAUCCCCGGGCUUAACCCGGGAAUUGCAUCUGAUACUGGUCAGCUAGAGUCUUGUAGAGGGGGGUAGAAUUCCAUGUGUAGCGGUGAAAUGCGUAGAGAUGUGGAGGAAUACCGGUGGCGAAGGCGGCCCCCUGGACAAAGACUGACGCUCAGGUGCGAAAGCGUGGGGAGCAAACAGG
rnacentral:rRNA from 1 species